UAUAAAUGUAAAUGAGGGGAUUUAGGUAGUAAGAGUUAGGAUCUUGAAACUUAAAGAAUUUGGCGGUGUUUUAUUCUGUUCAGAGGAAUCUGUUUUGUAAUUGAUAGUACACGAUCGAAUAGACUUAAUUUAAAUUUGUAUAUCGCCGUCAUCAGAUUAUUUUGUAUUGAGAAAAUUAAAUUUCGGAAUGUUUAAUAGGAGAAUAUGUCAGGUCAAGGUGCAGUUUAUAAUUGAGAAAACAAUGGAUUACAAUAAAUUUAUAUUUUAGUGGAAUAAUAUUAAUGAAGGAUAUAUGAAAUUGGAUUUGAGAGUAAUUUGAUUGAAGAUAAUUAUUUGAAGAAGCUCUAAAGCAUGC
rnacentral:rRNA from 1 species